CCUACGGGUGGCUGCAGUGAGGAAUAUUGGUCAAUGGACGAGAGUCUGAACCAGCCAAGUAGCGUGAAGGAUGACUGCCCUAUGGGUUGUAAACUUCUUUUAUAUGGGAAUAAACUGUUCCACGUGUGGAAUUUUGUAUGUACCAUAUGGAUAAGGAUCGGCUAACUCCGUGCCAGCAGCCGCGGUAAUACGGAGGAUCCGAGCGUUAUUCGGAUUUAGUGGGGUUAAAGGGAGCGUAGGCGGAUUGUUAAGUCAGUUGUGAAAGUUUGCGGCUCAACCGUAAAAUUGCAGUUGAAGCUGGUAGUCUGGAGUACAGGAGAGGUGGGCGGAAUUCGUGGUGUAGCGGUGAAAUGCUUAGAUAUCACGAAGAAUUCCGAUUGCGAAGGCAGUUCACUGGACUGCAACUGACACUGAGGCUCGAAAGUGUGGGUAUCAAACAGGAUUAGAUACCCCAGUAGUC
rnacentral:rRNA from 1 species